AAAAAUGGUAGUGGUGCUUUGUAAGGCCUCCAGGAUUGUGUCUCUUUUAAAUGGGGAAAAGGUGAGGCACUAAAUACUUUAAAAAUCUGUAAUUCCCCAAAUUGUCACUUGUCUCGUGUCCCCCAAGUCAUCCUGGGAGCUUUUUCCACGUCAAGGAAAGAUAAAUGGACAAACACAGUUUACACAUACCAAGCACAUUUGUUUAAUAAACAAUGCUGAGAAAGUUUAACUGAAACUCUAAAGCCACUAAAGGGGACAAAUAAUUAAUUUCAAGUCAUCAAACUGUUUAAACGGAAAUGUAAUUUUAAUAAAGUGAUAUAAGGGCCGAAGAUUUGUACAGCAGAAAGCUAAAGUCCAAAAAUCAAAAUGUGAAAACUAAAGGAAAGCAAUGGGUUUUGUCCUAGAGAACUUCCCAAAGUUUUCUCUGAAUGUUCAUGGGAACAUUUGCACCUGGGACUGAAGCUGCAUUUCUGGGUGGGAUUGGCUCCAGGUGUUUCCAUUUCCAUCCAAAGAGAGGCUGCAGUUCCCCCUAUUUCAGUGAUCCAGCAGGGAGUGCCCACUUUUGGAAGGUUCAGGCUGCUCCAGGGAGGUUUUUCCCCUUCCACUGCUCAUCCCCUCUCGGCUCUGCACAUCACCCUCUCAGCCAGGCUGGCUCUGGGAGAGGUCCCUGCCGUGGAACAAACCUGUUUCCUUCACUGGGAUGUGUCAGUUAGAAACACCAACUGCAAGGAUUUCUUCUGUUCUCACGAAAAAGGAAGGAAACAGCUGGUAAAUGUUUCACAGAUGGUAAAGCUCUUGGCAUCUCUCAGGAGAGGGCCACCCAUACAGAUG
ensembl:lncRNA